rnacentral:lncRNA from 1 species
GAAGCGCCCACCGCACAGGCCCAGGCAGGGUUAAGAUGGCGGCCGCGCGGGGAUCCGCGCCGCGCCCAGCAUUCCCCCGCCGGCGCGCCCACCUUACCAUAGUGCCCGCGGCUGAAGUGGCUGCGGCGGCGGUGGCUCGGACUCCGGCUCGGUGGCACUGGGACGAGAAGAAGGAGGGGAUCUCGUUUGGAGUCUUUUGCGGGUCUCUUGAUUCAUGAAGUAACUGCAGAUGACCUUGAACGGAUCCCGCCUCCAUCCUGCAGGUGUUGGGAUUACAGGCAAGCACCACCUCCCUGGGUUUAGACCCCUCUUAUUACUAAAAGGAGAACGAACACUAUAAAUAUUACCUUAGUGAUUGAAGUACUAAGCAAAGGCAGAAUGAGAAGCAGGAAUGUUGGCUUAUACCUGGAAUUCUGCAAGAAGAGGGUGAGGUCACAAAAAGUCUCUGGAGAUACCUUGGACAGAAUUAUAAUCCAAGUAAAACCAGAAACUGCUCAAGUUACGUUUCUUUUCCCCUGUAAAUGGGAUGUAUUGAGAUUACUAGAAAAAUAAAUGUUUAUAUGUGGAGA